rnacentral:tRNA from 1 species
GACCACGUAGCUCAGUUGGCAGAGCAUUGGGCUAGUAUUCCAAAGGUCGUAGGUUUGAUUCCCACUGUGGCCA